rnacentral:rRNA from 1 species
GCAGCGAAAUGCGAUAAGUAAUGUGAAUUGCAGAAUUCCGUGAAUCAUCGAAUCUUUGAACGCACAUUGCGCCCCCUGGUAUUCCGGGGGGCAUGCCUGUCCGAGCGUCAUUGCAACCCUCAAGCACGGCUUGCGUGUUGGGCGGUCGUCCCGUCUUC